UUUCUGCUUCUGAUUCUGGACCUUUCAAAAUCAGUUUUCUAAUUCUGAAAAGUAAAAUCAGAUUUGCCACCUAUCAUUCCCAAAUAUUCUACUGAGCUCAAAAGUAAUUUUGGGCUCAAAAUUACUUCUUAGAAGUUAGACCAAACACCCCCUAUAUUCUUUUCGAAAACGCUACCACGAGAAAUAGAAAAUAAUUUUACUACAAAAUCAUAAGACCAACCAUAAAUCAACACUCACCAACACUAAAAAUCCACAUAAUAACUAACUGUCCCUGGCGCAAAUG
rnacentral:lncRNA from 1 species